rnacentral:rRNA from 1 species
GAUUAAGUUAUUAAGGGCGCACGGUGGAUGCCUUGGCACUAGAAGCCGACGAAGGACGUUACUAACGACGAUAUGCUUUGGGGAGCUGUAAGUAAGCUUUGAUCCAGAGAUUUCCGAAUGGGGAAACCCAGCACGAGUUAUGUCGUGUUAUCUGCAUGUGAAUACAUAGCAUGCAAGAAGGCAGACCCGGAGAACUGAAACAUCUUAGUACCCGGAGGAAGAGAAAGAAAAAUCGAUUCCCUGAGUAGCGGCGAGCGAAACGGGAAGAGCCCAAACCAAUAAGCUUGCUUAUUGGGGUUGUAGGACACUCUGUACGGAGUUACAAAAGAAUUUGUUAGACGAAUAACCUGGAAAGGUUAAUCAGAGAAGGUAAUAAUCCUGUAGUCGAAAACGAAUUCUCUCUUGAGUGGAUCCUGAGUACGACGGAGCACGUGAAAUUCCGUCGGAAUCUGGGAGGACCAUCUCCUAAGGCUAAAUACUCUCUAGUGACCGAUAGUGAACCAGUACCGUGAGGGAAAGGUGAAAAGUACCCCGGAAGGGGAGUGAAAGAGAACUUGAAACCGUGUGCUUACAAGUAGUCAGAGCCCGUUAAUGGGUGAUGGCGUGCCUUUUGUAGAAUGAACCGGCGAGUUACGAUCUGAUGCAAGGUUAAGCAGAAAAUGUGGAGCCGUAGCGAAAGCGAGUCUGAAUAGGGCGAAUGAGUAUUUGGUCGUAGACCCGAAACCAGGUGAUCUACCCUUGGUCAGGUUGAAGUUCAGGUAACACUGAAUGGAGGACCGAACCGACUUACGUUGAAAAGUGAGCGGAUGAACUGAGGGUAGCGGAGAAAUUCCAAUCGAACUUGGAGAUAGCUGGUUCUCUCCGAAAUAGCUUUAGGGCUAGCCUCAAGUGAUGAUUAUUGGAGGUAGAGCACUGUUUGGACGAGGGGCCCCUCUCGGGUUACCGAAUUCAGACAAACUCCGAAUGCCAAAUAAUUUAACUUGGGAGUCAGAAUGUGGGUGAUAAGGUCCAUAUUCGAAAGGGAAACAGCCCAGACCACCAGCUAAGGUCCCAAAAUAUAUGUUAAGUGGAAAAGGAUGUGGCGUUGCCCAGACAACUAGGAUGUUGGCUUAGAAGCAGCCAUCAUUUAAAGAGUGCGUAAUAGCUCACUAGUCGAGUGACACUGCGCCGAAAAUGUACCGGGGCUAAACAUAUUACCGAAGCUGUGGAUUGUCCAUUGGACAAUGGUAGGAGAGCGUUCUAAGGGCGUUGAAGCAUGAUCGCAAGGACAUGUGGAGCGCUUAGAAGUGAGAAUGCCGGUGUGAGUAGCGAAAGACGGGUGAGAAUCCCGUCCACCGAUUGACUAAGGUUUCCAGAGGAAGGCUCGUCCGCUCUGGGUUAGUCGGGUCCUAAGCUGAGGCCGACAGGCGUAGGCGAUGGAUAACAGGUUGAUAUUCCUGUACCACCAUUAUUCGUUUUAAGCGAUGGGGGGACGCAGUAGGAUAGGCGAAGCGUGCUGUUGGAGUGCACGUCCAAGCAGUGAGAUUGAGUGUUAGGCAAAUCCGGCACUCUUAAGAUUGAGCUGUGAUGGGGAGAGGAACUUGUUCCUCGAGUCGUUGAUUUCACACUGCCGAGAAAAGCCUCUAGCUAGA